rnacentral:rRNA from 1 species
CAGCAUAGGUGCUUGCACCUGAUGGCGAGUGGCGAACGGGUGAGUAAUGCAUCGGAACGUGCCCAAUCGUGGGGGAUAACGCAGCGAAAGCUGUGCUAAUACCGCAUACGAUCUACGGAUGAAAGCGGGGGACCUUCGGGCCUCGCGCGAUUGGAGCGGCCGAUGUUAGAUUAGGUAGUUGGUGGGGUAAAGGCUCACCAAGCCGACGAUCUAUAGCUGGUCUGAGAGGACGACCAGCCACACUGGAACUGAGACACGGUCCAGACUCCUACGGGAGGCAGCAGUGGGGAAUUUUGGACAAUGGGCGCAAGCCUGAUCCAGCAAUACCGCGUGCAGGAAGAAGGCCUUCGGGUUGUAAACUGCUUUUGUACGGAACGAAAAGGCUCUUUUUAAUAAAGAGGGCUCAUGACGGUACCGUAAGAAUAAGCACCGGCUAACUACGUGCCAGCAGCCGCGGUAAUACGUAGGGUGCGAGCGUUAAUCGGAAUUACUGGGCGUAAAGCGUGCGCAGGCGGUUUUGUAAGACAGACGUGAAAUCCCCGGGCUCAACCUGGGAAUUGCGUUUGUGACUGCAAGGCUAGAGUACGGUAGAGGGGGGUAGAAUUCCGCGUGUAGCAGUGAAAUGCGUAGAUAUGCGGAGGAACACCGAUGGCGAAGGCAGCCCCCUGGACCUGUACUGACGCUCAUGCACGAAAGCGUGGGGAGCAAACAGGAUUAGAUACCCUGGUAGUCCACGCCCUAAACGAUGUCAACUGGUUGUUGGGAAUUUACUUUCUCAGUAACGAAGCUAACGC